AACCUAUAACGCGGGGUGUCAAAAUAUUUGAACCAUAUAGGAAAAUUGAGUAAAACCCUUGGAAAAGGUAGCAAAGGCGCUGUUUCUAAAACCCUCACCUGGAGAAAAGGGGCGAAAUUGGUUUGUUGCUGCUGAUGUUCGUCGGUCAAAUGAAAAGAAAGGAGGGAUGAAAUGAAGAGCUGUGCGAAAAAGAUGUUUAUGGCCUGCAAAUUGGAUAUGUGCGCAAGCACACGAAGGCGUUGUUUCUCAAACCCUCGCCUGAUCUUGUUUUCAGCUCUCGAUAAUCCCGAAAACCACCUUGCUUUAUAUGUUGAAAUACGAGAUAAUUUGAUGAUAUAGAUUGGUUCAAAAACAACCAACUCAAUAUCCAACAUCUGAAGAUUGGAUCAUCGAAAAUCAAAUUCAAGGCCUUCGUUUUGCGAGCACAUCAGAUCUCUCGUCGCACUGCAGCAAGAUGGGGAUUCAGAGCUAUUGUCAUAGAUGAUACGGGGAAUGUGCUAUUGAUUGCAGGAAGGACAUUGGGGGGGCUGCAUGUCAGUGGUGUAAGCUGAAGCUACUGCUGUUUUGUUUGGUCUAAAAUUCACCUAUAAAGCUGGCUACAGAUUGACAGAGGUUGAGAUGGACUGUCUUAAGCUGGUCUUGAUGCUGCAGAAGAAGAGGGAGGAAGCGACGAGAGUUCAGAUGAUGGUAAAUGAUAUUGCUGCAUAUGCUAUUAGUUUUAUGAUUGCAACUUCAUUUUUCCUACCAGCAAAUGUAAUAAAGUGGCAAAUACAAUGGCUAGAACCUCCCUCUGUUUUGAUGAGGAACUUGUCUGGUAUAAUGAAUACCCACCAAACAUUUUACCCCUUGUUCUGAUGGACAAGACUUUGAUUGAAUGAUAACUACCUAUUUUACCCGUCAAAAAAAAACAUUCUGCAAUUCAAUAUGUUCUUGAUUUUCAUAAUUAGUGAUUUAUUGGGCAUGUGUUGAUUGACAUAAACUUUUCGCACUAGUUUACUUGUUGCAACAGACUAGUUAUCAUCUUAUAAGUUUGUGUUUAGUUGGAUGUUGAAUGUGCUUAGUACCUUUGAGUAAAUGUUGGAGCUAAGAAUCUCGCAAGUAAAUUUUCCAUCGUGUAUCGGUAUAUGUGUUUGACUUGCAUGAUUGUUAGAGGGCUAAAAGUUCUGGUGGAUCAAUAGAUGAUUUUGAACAACGGUUGUUGCAAAAAUUUCUGGCUAUGCUUGCUUAUGAGGAACUAAAAGAUAUAUCUUCUCAGGUUUGAUACUCACCCUUUAGAACUUUUAAUUCCUUCCAUUUUUUUAUUUCUAAGUGUAGAAAAGUUGUAAACUUUUGGGCAUUAUUUUCAAUUUCUAAUUUUAAAACAGAGGAGUAAGUAGGGUACGUGAUGUAUUACUUAACCUGUUAUGGACUAUAUAAUGCGAUAUUCCAAUUUAUUUCUGUUAACAGUGUAACUUAAUUUUUUUUAAUUCCUUUUCCUUUUGUAAGUAUUAUACAUUUUAAAAAAGGGACGCUUCUUCAUCAAGCCAUCAACAAAACUCAGCUUUGUUAACACCAAAUCAUUUGAUGUACUCGUUGAGUUAUGUAUUUCUAGGAUAAUGUAGGAUGGAACUUAGUGUUGGAUGUUCUUUUUUAUUUCUUACGAUUAAGGGAAAUUAAGUGAGAACUUGA